rnacentral:rRNA from 1 species
GCAAGUCGAGCGAGAAAGUACUUCGGUACGAGUAAAGCGGCGGACGGGUGAGUAACGCGUAGGAAUCUACCUAGUAGUGGGGGACAACUCGUGGAAACGCGAGCUAAUACCGCAUACGCCCUACGGGGGAAAGCGGGGGAUCUUCGGACCUCGCGCUAUCGGAUGAGCCUGCGUAGGAUUAGCUAGUUGGUGAGGUAAAGGCUCACCAAGGCGACGAUCUCUAGCUGGUUUGAGAGGAUGAUC